UGGGGAAUUUUGGACAAUGGGGGAAACCCUGAUCCAGCCAUCCCGCGUGUGCGAUGAAGGCCUUCGGGUUGUAAAGCACUUUUGGCAGGAAAGAAACGUCGCGGGUUAAUACCCCGCGAAACUGACGGUACCUGCAGAAUAAGCACCGGCUAACUACGUGCCAGCAGCCGCGGUAAUACGUAGGGUGCAAGCGUUAAUCGGAAUUACUGGGCGUAAAGCGUGCGCAGGCGGUUCGGAAAGAAAGAUGUGAAAUCCCAGAGCUUAACUUUGGAACUGCAUUUUUAACUACCGGGCUAGAGUGUGUCAGAGGGAGGUGGAAUUCCGCGUGUAGCAGUGAAAUGCGUAGAUAUGCGGAGGAACACCGAUGGCGAAGGCAGCCUCCUGGGAUAACACUGACGCUCAUGCACGAAAGCGUGGGGAGCAAACAGGAUUAGAUACCCUGGUAGUCCACGCCCUAAACGAUGUCAACUAGCUGUUGGGGCCUUCGGGCCUUGGUAGCGCAGCUAACGCGUGAAGUUGACCGCCUGGGGAGUACGGUCGCAAGAUUAAAACUUAAUGAAUUGACGGGGUCAUAGCUGUUU
rnacentral:rRNA from 1 species